rnacentral:rRNA from 1 species
UAAGUUAGUGGCGGACGGGUGAGUAACGCGUGGGUAACCUGCCUUGUACUGGGGGACAACAGUUGGAAACGACUGCUAAUACCGUAUAAGACCACAGCACCGCAUGGUGCAGGGGUAAAAAACGUACCGGUGGUACAGGAUGGACCCGCGUCUGAUUAGCUGGUUGGUGAGGUAACGGCUCACCAAGGCGACGAUCAGUAGCCGGCUUGAGAGAGUGAACGGCCACAUUGGGACUGAGAGACGGCCCAAACUCCUACGGGAGGCAGCAUG